rnacentral:rRNA from 1 species
UACGUAGGGUGCGAGCGUUGCCCGGAUUUAUUGGGCGUAAAGGGCGCGUAGGCGGCUCUGCACGUCCGUUGUGAAAUCGCCCGGCUCAACUGGGCGGGGUCAGCGGAUACGGCAGAGCUCGAGCAAGCUAGGGGGCAAUGGAAUUCCCGGUGUAGUGGUGAAAUGCGUAGAUAUCGGGAGGAACACCAGUGGCGAAGGCGACUACCUGGCCUGUUUCUUGACGCUGAGGCGCGAAAGCUAGGGGAGAAAACGGG